AACCCUACAACUCACUUGACCGACAUCAUAACUAACUAGUUACAACUAACAUGACCGACAUUUUCAGGUUACACUUUAUUUCGCCGGUGAUGACAAUCAUGCAAAUCGAUAACUAUUUGUUUUGAUGUGCUAAAACGUGAAGGUGGCUUUCACGUCACGCGCUAGUGGUUCAAACACCGCCACCGACAGUAGAACUAAGGUAACACAAGUUACAAAACACCCAUGUUUUGAAGUCACAUACGUUAUGCAAACGCCAGUGUUGUCUCCUCGUUAAGCUACUACCACAGACUAAAACAUCACAGGGUUAGCGAUGAAAAGCAAAUCUUCCAAGUCAGAUGGCCCCAAGUCCAAAAAGGCUCAGAGGGCUAGUGGGGAGAAUUCUGGUGCAACUUUUUCCUCUAAACUACGGGACAAGAAGGAUGCAGAGCCAUGCAAAAAAGGGUUUCCUCUCAAGUCCACAGGAAUCCAGAAGAAAAUUGCACAUGGAAGCAUACUCCACUACAUCUACAAGAACACUCUGGGUCAAAGUGUUCAUACCCAGAUGAGACAGUGUCUUCAGGAACCUUUUGUCCGCUCGCUCUCUUUGUACCACUAUCACGCGUCGAAGCUUCCUUUCGACCGCAGAGUCACCUGCCUGGAGUGGCAUCCCACUCAUCCCACCACACUGGGAGUGGGAUCCAAGGGUGGCGACAUCGAGCUGUGGGACUUUAAGCUCCACGACCAGAAGACAUUCAUCAAAGGGAUGGGUGCUGGAGACUCAGUUACCGAUAUGAGGUUUAACCCGUUAAACCCGACUCAGCUGUUCACAUCAUCUAUGGGGGGUACGACAGCCCUCCGAGAUUUCAGUGGGACCCCUCUCACAGUGUUUGCCUACACAGACACACUAAAUUUCUGGUACUGCUGUGUGGACGUGUCCAUCAGCCGACAGAUGCUCGUGACCGGAGACAAUGUCGGCAAGCUCCUGCUGCUGGGUUUGGAUGGGCAGAGGAUUUUCAGUGAUAAGUUACACAAAGCCAAAGUGACCCAUGCCGAGUUCAACACGCGCUGUGAUUGGCUGCUUGCGACGGCGUCAGUGGACCACACGGUGAAGCUUUGGGACUUGAGAAACAUAAAGGACAAGAAGAGCUUUCUUUAUGACAUGCCUCACGAGAAGGCGGUCAACUCAGCCUAUUUUCAUCCCUUGGACUCCUCAAAGUUGCUAACAACUGAUCAGUAUGACCAGAUCCGUGUGUAUUCAUCCUCUGAUUGGUCCAAACCUCAACACAUCAUCCAGCAUCCACACAGACAAUUUCAGCAUAUUACAUCCAUCAAGGCUACAUGGCACCCUGUGUAUGACCUCAUCGUGGCGGGUCGUUACCCUGACGACAGGGUCUGCCUCGGCGACCAGAGAACUAUCGACAUCUUUGAUUCCAACACAGCGGAGCUUGUGGGUCAGCUGUAUGAUCCCAACGUUGCAGGAAUCAAAUCUAACUGCGCAGGAGUCAGAAGACGGCUUCCUGCUGCUGCUGCAAGAUGCAUUUGUCACAUUAUGUACAACAUUAUACAAUUGAUAUAAAAAAAAUAUAUAAAUAAGUGCCAGUCACAUGGCAGUUUUUUUAUGUUAAAAAAAAGACCAUUUUGAGCCCCCCCUACAUCCCAGUUCAUUGUUCGCCAUAUCGCAGAUUUUCAAGUGGUAUUUUUAUUUUAUAUAUAUAUAUUAUAUAGAUGGGCUUUUACAGUACAGUAUACAGGUAAGUCUGAAUUUUGAGUCGCAUAUCAUCAGUGUAGCACCAUGCAGGGCAGAGGUCCACUGGAUGUAAAUUAGAGGAAGGAAUUGAUAAGAUUUUAUCAAUAUCAAUGCCAUUGUUGAUUCUGCUUAUUGAUUAAAUUCCUUAUCAACAGUGAUGCCAGUAACGCGUUACAAAGUCAUGGGGGGAAAAAGUACUUCUGCUGUCUUCCACACCAAAGGCAACCAAAUUAUGUUAAUAUAAUAAAUAUUUAUAAUAUAACCUUUGUUAGAUCAUUUUAGUAGCACUAGUGGAUACAGGAAAUAUAAAAAGAGCGUGCAAGAGAUGACAUUUGGCUGCAAAUGCGUUCGCCAGGUUGAUGCAAUAAGUACUUUAAAAUAACUAAUAUUGUUGUCAUAAUUUAUUAACAAUUACAGCGUACUGAUUAUGGUGUGAAAUUGAAUAGUACGCAGACAUUGUUUUUAUCCUAUUACAUAAUAUACUUCAAUGACUGUCCCGCGGUAAUGUUCUUGACAUCAUUUUAAAAUUAUGGAAAUUCAAAUUGUUCUGGAAGUGAAUUUCUCUUGGUUGGCAGCUCUGCAGUCAUAGCCAUAAAUGCAACUUUACUAAUAAUUGCCAUAGCUUUAUCAUUAGUAAUCGGCGGGUUUGAUUUAUUUUGAUCUUUUAAUUAAAAAAAAGCACUUUGUGUUGCAUUUCUUUGUAUGAAAAGCGGUUACAAAUAGUUUUGACUGAUUGUUUGGUCAUUUCCUUCGGUUUUCGGCCUUAGGUUCCUCAGUUUCAGUUAAAAAUGUUAGUCCUGGUGCAUCACUAUAUAAUAUGUUAAGUUUUAGUGAUUAUUUCAUAUAUACGUCUUUAUACUCUAUUAUUUGAGACCCUUUACCAAAUUAUUAAUACAGUUGCUUUCGUGGCUAUGACCGUUAACCUCAUUAAAUCAAGGCAUUGCAAUUGGACAAAUUAAUAAUAAUGCGUCAAAGAAAAAAAUCCAUCCAUCCAUUUCAAUGACAAAAAUAUUAAAAUAUUUACAUAGCACUGACAUUCUAGCAAUGGUUUAUCUUGUGCCUUGAUGUUGUGUACACUAUGUAUAUUAUGCAAAAAUAUUGGCUGGUUGGAGGGAGGGUCAAUUUAGGAGAGCAUCAAAUGUUUGUGUGCGUGCGUGCGUGCGUGUGUUUGCUUUCCUACUUGUGUGUCUGUUGCUUGUAUUGUGAUUUUUCAUUCACCUUUAAUUAUUAUUUGGUAUUUUGGUGACUUGUGUUGAAAGAGAGAAAAGGAAAGGAUGCAUCCCUUAACCCUAAAUAAAUACAUAAACAAAUAAUGCAUAGUAUAAAAUAUAUGCUUUUUUUCUAUAAAGGGAGCAGUCUUAAAACGUUUAAGCGCCACUGACCAUUUUCAGGUGGAUACAUUUUUGGUCAUUGACACAAUAGGGAUUAAUAAACACGUUAUAGUAUACGAUAUCUAUUAUUUACACAUGCCGGCCAUAUGCCGUAUUCCGUCCGACAAGUAGCGACGACGACACAGCGCUGUAAAGUUUCAUGUGUGGGUGUGCGUUUUCUUACUUAUAUGAUGAAUAAAGCUCUCGUUAGCACACAGUUGUUGUCCACGAAUUAUCGGCCAUAAUAAUCUGGCGAUCAAGCUUCACUUUGUAUCACUGCCCUUCUUCUUCACCGCCGUUCCUUGUCCCGCUGCCGGCGUUAGCUUCGUUAGCUUUGGCGAUCAACUUGAGGCUGACACGUCUCCCGUCAAGCACGUGUCGCGUUUUUUUUCUUCCAUCAUCAUAACAUCCCGUGUCAGGCCGAGCGGGCCAGCGUCAAGAGGUACGUGAGACGGCCGCCACCGCGUGAAGUGACGUCGUGCUGGGAAAUGAAAGCGUCGUUAAGGAGAACCGACAAUGUUGGAGAUGUACCACUACAAUGGAAUCGGUGAAUAAGACCGGGUUCUAAGUUGGAACCGCUUUUCGAUUCCCACCCCUAAUGUAGAUAGAUGCAGUGCAUUCAACAGGUACAAGAGGCACAGAAGGUCCCCUACUAAGCUGCUGUAAUAGUUGUUGUUCCCACAUCGCAGAAAGAAGAUAUGCCAGUGAGUAUUGUUAUAUGCUGUCUAUGUUCGUUUUGCUACUCCCUGUGUGUUAAAGUAGUUGUUGUUUGAAGGUUUAUAAAGACCGUAACAUCUAUGUUUCCGUCAGCUCCUCUAUGGCAUUUCGGAAUACAGUGUUUAUUAGGAUUACAUUAGCUGACAAAACUAUACGGUUUGGUUGAACGUUUUGGUUUGGUGUUUAAUUACUUUGUUUAAUAGUCAGUUUUACAGUAGAUUUCAACUGGGAGUGACAAACAGCCUGAAGCAAGGAUGCCCUGCCUCUGUGUGUGUGUGUGGGGUGGGGGUGGCAACUGUGCGAGCGAGUCUUCGUUUCAUUUCCUCAGUUGUUAUUUGAAAUUAAAUGUGUAUGUUUAUAGCAUGUGAGAGGGCUAAAACUAUAUUUCAAAAAAUGAUCUCUCAUUUUCACCUCAGGCUCUUGUCUGGAAGAAAUACCGCAUGAUAAACGGUUUUCAUUGUUAAACAACUUACUCUAAAAGGAAAACUAAAACAAUGUUUGCCCCACUCUUAUUAUAGCACUUUUUAAAUUCAUUUUUAAUUUAUUAGCAGUAUUUUGUCUUGUUCCUUUUGGUAUAAUAUGGUACAUUAGCAUGGUACUUUCUUUUUUUGUUUUAAAUGAUAGUUUGUGUAUAACUUCAUUAAAUAUAACAAAAUGUGUCUACUCGUCCUGUAAAAGUGCUUCAAAUGAGUCAGAUUGUGGUCGGGCCACAGAUUUUUCAUUGGACUUAGGUCUUGGCAAAACAAAACACCCAACGAAAAACUUAAAAAGCUCUAAUCUUUUUGGCAUCCACCGUGACUGGUUUUCUUCAUCGAUUUUGGAGGUUUUUUUUUUUUUUUUUUUUUUUUGUUGCUGUCAGGCAAUCUUGGGGAUUUUCAGUACAUCCUCCAACCCUCUCCUGGCUGAUAUAUGAUCAGUUUAAAUCCUUUCAUACUAGUAUUUACAGACAUUAUUUACUAAUGUUGGCCAAAUUCCUCUGAAUCACUUCUCUGUAAUUGUUGACAGCAGGUUUACUGUCUAUUGCUUAACUUGUCUCGUUGCAUCUAUAAUUAUGAACACAGGCAACCACAUCCCCAUUCCAAAUGUUUCUUUACUCCACCCCCCAAAUUCCCCUUUGUUAGUUUUUUUUUUUUUUUUACAUUAUUAAGACUUUUUAUUUUCUUGGCAUUACAUUUGUAUUUAAUUUUCUAAAAUGAAGGCCUUCCAUCCUUCAAAUGACAAUCCAUAAAUAUUCAGUUUUUAAAAAUGACAAACUGCAGGGGACACUAUUGUUGGUGGAAUUAACUAAAUACUGCAUUGCAUAUUAAUGUUGUAUCACUGCUAUUUUACUAUAAUUGUAGGGCUUGCACCUUGUGGUCACACGACAAAAAAUUUCUGGGCUGUAUUUUGAAAUCACGUUAUUUUAUUUCCAAUCCACAAUUAUGGGGUGGGGAAGGAAAAAUCAAAAUACGUCUGGACUUAACUGUAAAUAAGGAUAUAUGCUGAAUGAUGUUAAUGUACACAAUUGUAAAUGUUUUUCAGAUCAAUAAAUUCAAUCCAAUGGGCGAUAUCAUUGGCUCAGGAAUGGGUGUAACAGUGGUAGUUUGGGCCCGGGAUGAGUCAUUGCUUGGUGAUGAGCAC